rnacentral:lncRNA from 1 species
CGAAUAUAAAUGCAUAGAAACGAUACAUUCCAAAAAGAUCGAAUCAUAAUAAAACAAGUAAGGAGAUAAUACCAUACAAAAUAGAUCAAUACCGGAUAACGUAGGAACAUGAGUGGAUUACAUAGCAUCCAAUCACCCGUGUAGGGAUUAAAAAAGUAUGCAUACCUAAGUCCUCCAGCGGAGAGACCACAUCCAAGACACACAAGCGAGGCAUCAUAGCCUCACCGACUCAUCACAAAGGCUAGGCCUAGCUAAGCUACAACUUAUAGAUCUCCAAUACAUCGUCACACUGAAUGGAACACACGCACUCGCGUAAUAUUUAGCCCCUCGAAGUCGCGUGGGCAACGUCUAUAUCAUAUUCAAAUGGGGCUUGUAUACUUCAAGGGCUAGUGGAAGAGGUCGAGGGUGGUGGAGAGAGGAAAGGGAUGGAGGGGAUGGUGGAGGGGAUGGUCGGGUCGGGAUCGACGGGAGUGGUGGGACUGAUGGGAGUGUCGGGAUGGUCGGGUUUGUGGUGGGGAGUCCUGGGAUCGUGGGGAGCGGCGUCGUCCCCGGGAUUGUUGGCAAGUUCGGAAUGUUCGGCAGCUGUAGCAGAUUGCGAGCCGCUUCACACCGACCCAUUCGGUCGGUUGCUAGGACAGCCACGAGCGCCAGAACGAAGGCCGUGAAGAAGAAGCCGCGUGCGGAAGCCAUCGAUGCUGCUUCUUUCGAUUACGAGAGUAUAUGCGAGCGUGCCGGGUUGAUCGGAGCUUCGGAUGGGAGGGAUGUGGG